rnacentral:lncRNA from 1 species
CCUGAACAUGCUGUUGCCAAAAGCAACGGUGACCCCAUGGAGCAAAAGUCCUGAUAAUCAUUAGGGCACACUCAGUCAGAAUUUAGGAAUUUGAUAUAUUCUGGCUUUAAUGAGAUUUCCUCUUGAUAAACUAAACUUUCUAUGAGGGAAGAGAGGGGGACUUUACAGGUAAAUUAAAUGAAGAAUUGGCCACUUCAUCUAAGAAUGGAAAGCCAGAGAGACAGGAAUGAAAAUCAAGACGUUCAUCCCUAUUUGAAAUAUGUGAACUUUCUCACAGAAGUUACAAAAGGAAAGAGGGAAGUGAUAGACUGGAUGAAGUUAGAGAGCAAGAAGACCAUGUACUUCAGUGCUUAUUCUGUGAAUUCUUGAGUCUCAGAUGAUUUUAACCCAGAGGUCCUUAACUAGACACCUAGUUUUAAAAAUCUGGAUAAAGUUCCAAGAUCACUUUCAAGUCAUCAUCUUUAAAUUAGUCUUUGUAUUCACCUAGCAUAGAUAAAAACAAACACUUCAAAACUAUUAAAUGGCUGGGAAGAAUUAAAAAACCAUUGAUAUUUAUAGCUUUAAAGUAUUUAUAUGCUGCCACUGUAAAAGUUCCUUGAAAAGUCAUGAAAAUUAUAUAAAUUGAACCAUUUGACCCUAACAAAAGUAUUAUAUGGAAGAUUUUCUAUAGAAUAAGAAUUGCUUACUCAUAAUUUAAACAUGGAAGAAUUUUUUAAAGAACAGAAAACUGAUUAUUAGCUAUAAUUUGAAAAUAUUACCUAAUUAUUAAUUUUGUAUUUAUAUACAAUUAAUAUUAUAUUUAUCUCUAUAUUGGUAAAUUGU